CCAUUUCUACCCUUUUCUGCUGCUGGCUCGGCUGUAAUGCCCUUUUGCCUGGAGGGAGGAAGAGGAACAGAUGGCAUGCAGCUAGGCAAUUAUACAACAUAGUAAAAGCAUGGUCAGGCUCAAAUUUACACAAAGAUGCCCAUGCUCAUGUCAUACUCUGGAAUGAUCCAGUUACAUAUUCUUGCUAGCACACCAAGGAAAACGAAAAACGACAGUGAGCAGCAAGUGACAACACACCUGGAGUUACAAAGACUAUCAUUUUCUAAGCUCUUCCUUUUUCUCUCCUCAUCAGUGUCUGCAUGUAAUGGAUGAUGUGACAAACAAAACAAAGCAAUACAAAAAACUCAAAGAGACAGUAAUAGAAAAAAAUAAUUGAUGCUGAAUACAGAAAAUACAGAAAAAAAUGUCAUCA